CCUACGGGCGGCUGCAGUGGGGAAUAUUGGACAAUGGGGGGAACCCUGAUCCAGCCAUGCCGCGUGUGUGAAGAAGGCCCUCGGGUUGUAAAGCACUUUCAGUGAGGAAGAACGCCUGGUGGUUAAUACCCAUCAGGAAAGACAUCACUCACAGAAGAAGCACCGGCUAACUCCGUGCCAGCAGCCGCGGUAAUACGGAGGGUGCGAGCGUUAAUCGGAAUUACUGGGCGUAAAGCGCGCGUAGGUGGCUUGAUAAGCCGGUUGUGAAAGCCCCGGGCUCAACCUGGGAACGGCAUCCGGAACUGUCAAGCUAGAGUGCAGGAGAGGAAGGUAGAAUUCCCGGUGUAGCGGUGAUAUGCGUAGAGAUCGGGAGGAAUACCAGUGGCGAAGGCGGCCUUCUGGACUGACACUGACACUGAGGUGCGAAAGCGUGGGUAGCAAACAGGAUUAGAUACCCGAGUAGUC
rnacentral:rRNA from 1 species